AUAUUGAAUAUAAAAGAAAAGGGGAAGCGCUAGUCAAUUCAAAAUGUUGAUCCUCCAUUGUCAGUUCCUAAUGCAUAUCUAAACAGUUUCUUCUUGGUAUUCUUGAAGUAGAAGAAGACUACGACCUAGAAAAGGUGUUCAACUUUGGCGAAUUCAUCGGGGUUGGAGAAUAAUCAAACCGAAAAAUUGAAUGUUGGAGCGAAGAAACAACCGGUACUUUCUUAUAUGACGAAUCAUAUAAAAAUGGGAUUUCUCAUUCCUCCAAACUUUUCAGAGUAAACAGGAAAUCAAGAAACCGAAGUAUGUGCAAGAUUCUGUUGGAUCUUGUUCACAUUUGAAACAAGUGAAUGGCUUAGAGGAAUGAAAAGUUGUCUGCUGCGCAGUUAGAAAUGACUAAUAGGGAGAACCUGGUGAAACAGCACGCUAAAGUUUAAGCUGUCUCAGGUGAUGCUUACUGCUGAAAACAGGGCAUCACAUUUGGAUGGUGCACUGAAGGAGUGGAUGCGGCAGAUACGUAAUUUGAAAGAAGAGCAUGAUGUGAUUCAGAAUAAAGCCAAACAGUUUGACAUAAUGAAGCAUGAGUUUGAAGCAAAGAUAGCUAACUUGGACCAGAUAUUUCAUUUGAUAGUGUGCAGAAGUUCCAUAAAGAGGAAACAAAGAUAUUGAAAGAAGCUUUGGCACACCAAAACAGUGAAUUACAAGCAUCCAGGAGUAUUUUUUGCAAGACAUCCAGCAAGCUUCUGAGUUUGGAUGCACAGCUGCAACCAAAAUUUGAAUAGAAAAGCCCACAAAAGUCCACCAUUCGACAAGGUUGGCUUCCAUGUCAACAAUUACAUAUUGUAGGUCAAGUUAUUGUAAAUGUGGACAGAAUAAAGGAAAUAGUUUUACAAUUACAUACUGUAGUGUCAAAGUUUUUGUAGUGACCUUGCAAAUGUAUAUGUAUUGUUCAGUAAUGUGAGUUUCCCUCUAUCUCUUGCAAUGUUACCUGAUAUUCUGUUCAUGGAUAGGUCUAAUAUGUUAAGACCAGCGAGGGACACGAAAGAGGAAGGAACUGUUACUUGAAGAUUGUUUCCAUUAAGAUUAACCAUUUCUAGUGGUGGACAGUUGCCAAUAGCUGGAGAUUGUUUCGAUUUUCUUAUCUAUUUUAUUUUCAAUUAAUAUACUUGAAGAUUGUUUCAA